rnacentral:lncRNA from 1 species
UAUAUACGGGGCAAUUGCUUAUAUACCUGAAAAGUUUCCGACUUUUCGAUUUACCCCUCUUAGAAGGUUAAUAUUGAAAAUACUCUUUCUACGUUCCAACCUAUUUCUAAUAUACCCCAUAGAGUUAAAAUCUGUUAAUUAACUCUGUUAUCCCUGUAAAAUUACUAUUUUGCCCUUUCAAAUAUGCCCUUUCACCAUCACUGACUUUCUUAUUUGCCCUUAAAGUCAGGGGCACAAAAAGUAUUUUGACUUUUGGUCUUUUCAAAUAUACCCCUCUACCGUCAUCAACAUUUAUUAUUUGCCCUUAAGUUAAGGGCAAAAUUGGCAUUUUAAUUUUUUUUAAACUAUGGUAGAUAUUUAAUUCACGUUUAACCCAAGUUAAAUUAACAGGAGAUAACUGCGGGGGUAUUUUGCAAUAACGGUGGAACAUAUGAGGGGUAUUUUAAAAAGAAAAAAAAAGUAGGAGUAAAUCAGAUAUUUUCAAAUGUACGAAAUCGGAUUGAUUCGUUACUUCAUUCUGUUUGGUUCGCCACCUAAAUUGGAAUCGAAAUAAGCCAUUUUCAUUAUUGGUGUCUGGUUCAGAUAGAUAUUAGAAAUAUAAUUAAAUUAAUAUGUCAAUUUUAUCUUUAUAAUAUAUGGGCUUAAAUUUAAACUGAAAAUUAAAUAUAAAAAAUUUACGCCAAAAUUUUAAAACGAUGUCAAAAUUUUAAAUAUAUUUUUUAAAAAAAAUUAAAAUUUGAAAUUGAACUGAUAAUUUAAAAUAUAAAACUAAAUUUUGAUUUAUUCAAAUUCAAACUUAAAAUUAUAAUUUUAAUUUUAAUUUGAAUCCAUAAAUUUAAUUUAAAUUUUAAAUAAAAUUUGAAUAACAUUUAAGAUUUUAAAUUAAAUUCAAAUUUAUAAAUUAGAUUCGAAAUGCUUGAUUGAAUUUUAAUUUUUAAUUUAAGUUUAAAUUAAAAUUAUAAAUUAUAAAUAUAAUUUUUAAACUUAAAACUUAUAUUUUAAUUAAAAAAAACUUAAAAAGUUAAAUUUAAUCCGAACAAAUCCAUACUGCCCGCAUUCAAUUUCCAAUUCGGCCUGCUAGGCCGGAUUGGAAAAAGAGAUAAUUGGGGGGAUUUCCAUUCACCCAAUUUCGUCCAUUCCGAUUCCGAUUCCAGUGUGAAAAAUGGGCAAACCAAACACGCCCUAGAUUCCGUGCAUGCGAUACGG